UAGAUAUGGAGAGUCGGAAGGGGAGUUGUAUCACAAAAGCUGGUCUGAGGCUAAAGGAAUCUGGCAAGAUGGUCGGGGUGAUCAAAGAGGAAAGAACUCACGCGGAGCAAGAGGCGGUUGCAAACACUUGUAGCCAGCAGUGAUGGAAAAGGCAAAGAAGAAAAACAAGUGCCAGCUUUUAGAAAGACGGGAUUAAUUAAAACCACAAGAAUUUUAAAGGCUAAAAGAGAUACCGAUUCUCUCUUUGCCAAAGAGCCAGAGUCAGUUCUUUUCUUCUUGGUCCCUGUGAUCCCGCCAUACCUUCUAUCAAAUAAAUAGUGCCAAAAGUUGGUCAAAGAAUGUUAGAGCUGGAAAGGAACCCAGCGAUGAUGCCACAUUCUUUUAUUGUACAAAUGAGGAAACUGAGGCCCAGAUAGGUGGAGUAAGUGGCCUGCUCAGGUGACAUGGCUGUUUGUUGAGUAUCCAGGGAUUGAAACUUCAAGGACUCUGAGAUUCGUGCUCUUCCCAAAGCAUCAUGCAGCAUAUAGAUCUUUGCCUAGAUGCAAUUCCAUACAUUUUCUCUGCAGUGUCCUCAGGGAAUGCCCUUUGAAAGGGCCAGCGUGACACCGAAUAUCAUACUUGGGCUUAUGUCAUUUUUUUCAGUCUUCAAGUGGUGUUUAUGGUCUGCUUGGAUCUUAGGAAUUACCUUCAGCCUUAAAACUCUUCCUUUACUCUCCUGGAUCACUUAGGUGAUAGGUCACUUUUAAUAUAAAUGUUGCAGGAUGAGUUAAGUGGAGCCUUGAGAAAUAUGUGUAGAUUGUUUCAGUGAUUAAAGCAAGUGU
rnacentral:sRNA from 1 species